AAUGGAUCCGGGCGCCGCGCUGCAGAGGCGGCCCGCGGGCGGCGGCGGCCUGGGCGCGGGCUCCCCGGCGCUGUCGGGCGGCCAGUCCCGGCGGAGGAAGCAGCCCCCCAGGCCGGCCGACUUCAAGCUGCAGGUCAUCAUCAUCGGCUCCCGCGGCGUGGGCAAGACCAGCCUGAUGGAGCGCUUUACCGACGACACCUUCUGCGAGGCCUGCAAGUCCACCGUGGGUGUUGACUUUAAAAUCAAAACCGUAGAGCUAAGAGGAAAGAAAAUUAGGUUACAAAUCUGGGACACAGCAGGUCAGGAGAGAUUCAACAGCAUUACCUCAGCUUAUUACAGAAGUGCCAAGGGGAUCAUAUUAGUAUAUGAUAUCACAAAGAAGGAGACAUUUGAUGAUUUGCCAAAAUGGAUGAAGAUGAUUGAUAAGUACGCUUCAGAAGACGCAGAGCUUCUUUUAGUUGGAAAUAAGUUGGACUGUGAAACUGACAGAGAAAUCAGCAGACAGCAAGGUGAAAAGUUUGCACAGCAGAUAACUGGGAUGCGGUUCUGUGAAGCAAGUGCCAAGGAUAACUUCAACGUGGAUGAAAUAUUCCUGAAGCUUGUUGAUGACAUCCUGAAAAAGAUGCCUCUGGACAUGCUGAGGAACGAGCUGUCCAAUAGCAUCCUCUCCUUACAACCAGAGCCUGAGAUCCCACCAGAACUGCCUCCACCCAGACCACACGUCCGAUGCUGUUGAUUCGCUACUUUGGAGACAAAGUGGGAGCGAUUCCUGGAGAGGGGAAAGUUUCCAUUCUGCACUACAAUCGUUUUGACCAUUUCCUUUCGCACUUUGUAAUCCAAGUCAGAGCUAUACACUAACUUGUAAAUACGCAGAUAUGCAAUCCUGGAUAGUGUCCUCAAGAGAACGUUCUGUUUAAUGUCUCUGCCUUCUACCGUCCAACAACCAGUCAUGGAUCGUGCCGACCAUUUACCUGUUGUCUCACCUCCACGACGGCCCUCCUGUGCUCUGCCCUGUGAUACCAGGGCCUCAGCUCUGAAGGACACCUGCCGACACCCCUGCUCUUCCCGUUAGACCUGCUGCUGGGAGGAACUCGGGGGGAUGGGAGGAGAGGGGAAGGGACUUGCCAUUUCCCCCCCCCCCACCUCUUUUCCCCUGCAGAGACAGCUGACCUUCAGCUCCAGCUCCCGGCGGACCCUCAGCUGAGCCUGGCUGCACCCACCAGAGAGGCCAGGGCAGUGGCACCGCUGCACUGCUCCUUGCAAAGUCUUCCUUUUUCUACCUCCUGGAUCCUUGAGGUGCUGUUUCAGCUUCCUGAACACUUGGCCGCUCCUUGGAAAUGUUCGAUUAAGCCUGUUCUCAUGGUAGAGACAAGACAGUGACCGGAAAUGCACUCAAGCCGUUUGCAUGCAAAACCUGGAGCACGUCUCAUCCCCAUAAAUGGACAGUUAUUACUGAAAAUGGUUCUGGAGAUCUGCCUCUGUGAGCUGAUGAGUUUGGUCCAUUUGCCAACAGGUCCGCUCUUCCAUAGGCUUAAACCAUAACCCUUUUUGACAAUGUGAGAACAGGAUAAACCAGCCCCAAUCCACCCACUAUUGACAGACAGCUCACCGCGCACACGCCCAGUGGGUGGAAGUUCCCAGGUGCCCUCCUAGCAGAGACAGCAGGGCCCCAGGGUAGUGAGGACUUAAUCACCCCUGUUGACUGAUGCAGGGCUGGGGGUUUAAGGCUGUUGGGCAAGAUCAACAGUAGAAUCCCUACAUUGUACUGGGUUUCUUUCUUUAAAAAAUUGCAGACCUUUCCAAAGACAGCUCGGCAAAUGCUUGCGAUUAAAAUGCAUUUUAUUGGAAGAGUGCGUUUUCUAAAAGACAAGGGUGCUGCCGGGGCUAAAGCUCUCUGGAAGAGACUGGCCUCAGGGUGUGUCUCAGAUCCAUCAGGCCUACGGGGGUCAUCAUCUUUACCUGUAGGGUCAGCUGCUUAAACCCGUGGUUAGCUCAGGGGCCCCUCAGCCCAUUAAAGAUGUACCUCAACUUGUUGAAAUGCCCUUUAACUCUGGAAACAGCUUUUCAGUCCAUAAUUCGAACCAAAAGAUUUUAGUAUAAGUAACUUGUUAGUUUGAAUCCCCAUCAAAGAGUAAUCUGGUGUUGCCGAGUACCAAUAACUGGAUGUUGAAUUGAGCAGGAGAGUGUUAGGUACCUGAAGGGGAAUCAUGAAAAUAGGUAAGAAAAUGGUUUAGAAAGAGAAUGAGGCCAAAAACAACUGGGCCAACUUUCAUUUGGCUCUCUCCUCAGCCAGUCUGGACAGACUACAGACGUUCACCCCACCACUGUCUCCCCCAGGCCCUGCCGCUCUUCACUCUUGGAUGGUUGCCACCUACUGUGGCCUGUCAUGGGACCAUUGAAAAUGUGUUCAAUGCAAGCAGAAGGAAGGAAAUAAUAAAGAUGAAGCAUCAAUAGAUGAAAUUAAGAACAUAAAAAUAAUAGUCAAUAAACCAAGAACUGUAUCCACAGAACAAUUAAAAAAAGACUUCAUUUUUAAAUGGGUAAAAAUUAGUCAUUAGGGAAAUGCACCUCAAAACCACAAAUGAGAUGACUUCACACCAGUGAGGAUGGCUAUUAUCAAAAGAACAAAAUAAGUGUUGGCAGGGACGUGGAAAAUUUGCAACCUUUAUGCAAGGUGGGAACGUAAAAUGGUACAGCCACUGUGGAAAAUGGUGCACAGUCCCUCAAAACAUUAAACAUAGAAUUUACCUUAUGAUGCAGCAAUUCCGCUUCCGGGUAUCUGCCCCAAAGAAGUGAGAGCAGAGGUUCAAAAAGAUAUCUGUACGUCCAUGUUCGUAGCAACAUUAUUCAAAAUAACCGAAAGAUGGAAGGAAGGAACGCAUGUGCCUAUUGACGGAUGAAUAAAGAAUGUGUUCUGUGAUAUAUACUUACAAUGGAGUAUUAUUCAGCCUUAAAAAGGAAGGAAAUUCUGACACCACGUGCUACAGAAUGGACGAACCUUGGGGACAUUGUGGUGAGAUAAGUCAGUCACAAAAGGAUAUACUGAGUGAUUCCACUUGUAUGCGGGACCUAGAGCAGUCAAACUCACAGGGACAUAAAGUAGAAUGAUGACGGCCAGAGGCUGGGGCAGGGGAUAGGGAGUUAGUGUUUAACGGGUGCAGAGUUUCCAUUUGGGAAGAUGAAAAAUUCUGGAAAUGGAUGGUGGUGAUGGCUACACAGUAACGUGAAAUGGAUUUGAUGCCCCUGAGCUGUACAUUUACAAAUGGUUGAACUGGUAACUUUUAUGUUACGUAUAUUUACCACAAUGAAAAAAAAAUUAAAUGGUGGGGGGAAAGGUAUCUUUUAAACGAUCAACAAAAUUGACAAACCUCUAGCCAAGCUCAUCAAGAAUAUAGAGAGAAGAUCGAGUUACCCAUAUCUGGAAUAAAAGAGGGACUUCAUUACAGGCACUUAAGACAUCAAAAGAAUGAUAAUGGAACACCAUAAAACUAUUCUGUGCACAUAAAUUUAACAGCCUAGAUAAAAUGAACAAAUGUCUUGAAAAAUACAGGCUGCCAGAGCUCAUUAGGAAAGGAAAGAAACAGGAAAUUUUCUCAACCUGCUGAAGGUCACCUACAAAACCCAACAGCUAACCUCAUACUUGGUGGUGAAAGAAUGAUCACUUUUCCUCUAAAAUUAGGAAUAAGGCAAGGAUAUUUGUUCUUUAACUAACAUCAUACUAGAAACCCUAGCCUGCAGUAAAGCACCAAAAAAAAGGGAAAUAAACAAAACGCUCUCUAUUCGCAGAUGGCAUGAUUGUCUACAUAGAAAUUCACAAAGAAUUUACAAGAAAACUAUCAGAACUAAUAAACGAGACGGCAAAGCAAAGGUGGCUGCCCCUCCCCCUUAUUUGUCACCGCUUCUCCAUCUCCCCCAGGACUGAUCCGAAAAUAACUUACCGCAGCCUGUUUUAGAAAAGCCGAUAGAAGAUACAGUGGUUGCACAUAAACUGGAUGCCAAGAACGGUGUUGGAGGAGCCCCCCAUCGGUCUAGCACUUGCAUUAGGCUUUUUAUUUUCCAUCAGGAUUGAAGGCACCCCUCCCAUAUGCUUGGUGCUUUUAAACAUACGGACUGCGCUGCAUCAGCUGCGCAGUUACCCGUGCUCCAAGCUGUUAAAUUCAAGUAUCUGCUGCUCGACUUUGUCAAAAACUCCGUAGCUCAUAGUGGACAAGCCGUAGUCUCCGUUCCCUUCUUUCUUGUUAUUCCCCCCAAGUCGGGACAGCUUAUAGGAGAGCUGGGUAAGGAACCCGUGGUCUUCACUUCCAGGAAUUGUCUUCACUGUGCCCUGAUGUCAUGCCUUCAACUAACGUGGAGCAACCCCAGGAAACCUCUCAUGGAACCCAUGCUUACCUUGAGUGAAGGGAUGUGGUUGAGUGCACUGUUAGCCUGAAUUUCUAUUUAUUUUUUUACUCUACUCUAGUGCGUGUAUUCAUUAAGCCGUAUAAAAUCCCUUGGGAAGCCACAUGGACUGUAUAAACGCAACGAAAUAUCUUAGUGGUCCAAGGAUCAUCUCUGAAGGAAUUCUGCAAUGAUGCAAACUUUCCAUUAGGGGGAGCUAGAGUACUAAUGCUAAAAAUACUGCAGGUUAAAAUAACAUCGUUUGCAAAUUGCACAAUUGUUUCUCAAUUAGUCUUUAUUAUUUUCAUGUUUUCCGCUAUGUAUAAAAGGCAUACAUAAUUUAAAGGUAUCAUUUGAAUAUAUGGUAUAAUUUAGGAGGGGAACGUGAAUCUUAAAACUUAUGCCCUACUUUUUAACAGUACUUUGAACAGACCUGAUGAAUUUGGUUUGAACUCAGGGGAAUUUUCCUAAAUCAAAUGCUGAAGUUUUUUUAAGCCUAAAAAUGUUUUAGAGGUAAACAGAGUACAAUAAGAGUUUUAAAGAUAAUUCUUUUGGUAAAAUGUAUUGUUUGCUUUUUAUCUGUCACUGAAGGAAGACAAAAAUGUAUUUUAUUCACUAAAUCUACCUGGCAUUUACUUUUUAAAUUGUAGCCACGGACCACACUCAGAGAUUAGGACUCACAGCUGUGGGCAUAUAUCGCAGGACCAGUUAAGGAAAGGAGUGGGUGCUGCCAGGUAAGGAGUCCACAGAAGGCUGAAAGGGAGGGAAGCAAGGGACUGGUUUUCCGCCAAGUGGCACAGUCCCCGUGAGCCUGGGGAAGGAGUUUAAAGAGGACACAUUAAUGUCAGAUAGAGCGUGAGGAGCAAAGAGGCCAGAAGUACAAAAUCUUCUCCGAGGAAGAGAAAAAGAGACGCCAACGUGAACUUUGUAAGUAUGUAACCCUUGACCGGCAUCCCUUUGGAGGGUUAUGAUCUAACUUACACCAGCAGGACGUAAAACAGGACUCCUCUGGCUGCAGGAUUGUGUUCGGUAAUGAUUCAGUUUAGAGUGUAAGCAGAAGAUGUGAACUUCCCUCUGGUUUCUCUCCUUGGCAGUUGGGUUUAGGCAGAGAGAGUGCUUGGAGAGGCCACGGAGGGGUGAACAGGAGAAAGAGGAGAGGAAUAGCAGGUGCUGAGGAAAGGUCAUUGUCUCCUGGUUUCUUAGAAAGUAGGGCAUCAGCAGCAGGUGACCAGGGGGGUUCCAGGGGGGCGGGGGUCCCGGGGACUGGGUGGAGCAGGGCUUCUCAGCCCGCAGGCUCUCCUGGAGAUUUUCUGGUUUGGUUCUUUUCUGUGCUAUUCUUAUGGCGAUAUAACGUACAUAAAGAAAAGGACACAAAUCAUAAGUUGUACAGAGGACAGGUUUUUCUCAAAGUGGACAAGAAAGAGUAGCCUCCAAACCUCAGAAGUUGCCUCUGACGUACCAUCCUAACUGCUAACGCCAUAGCCUAGUCUGCCGGCUGUUGAACUUUAUGUAAAUGAGUCAUUUGUAAGGUGCUCUGUUGCACAGAACAGGGCCGAUAGGGACAUUGUUGCUCUGUCAUGUGGUGGACAGAGGUGUGCACCCCUGUUGGGAACACCUAGGGGGAGGAUUGCUGGGUCAUAGGGUGUGCUUAUAUACUCAUAGAUACCAACGAAGAAGUUUCCCACAGGACUGGUACCAAUUUACAGUGUCUGUGUAUCCUGUUACCGAAAGUGGGGUCUGGCUGCUCGCCGCUCAAAAGCCAAUAAAGAGCAAGGCUGCAGAGGGAAGCAGGGGCAGCUGGAGACGGGGUGGCCGGUGGUGACGCACCUCGUCUGCCCAGGGCACGGGCGAAGCCAGCGCAGCCCAUCACGUCCACCGACUGUAAUUAGGAAAAGGCCCUGGACUCCGACAGAUCUUGGUUGUAGUUUUUAGUCUGCCGCUUAGGAACUAUGAAUUUGGAAAUUUCACCCGAUUCCCUGAACCUUCGAUUUCCUCUCCUCUAUAAUAUGAGAUUGUCAGGAGGAUAAGAGCAUAUAUGCAGGGUCCUGCCUGAGACAAACAUUGGCUGGGAGUGUUCACAUUUCCCCCAUUUGGGGCUGAAAAAAGGGCGUAUCCCUGGGAGCCAGGCAUGUGUGGAUGGCCCCUGGGUAGAUGUCCUAGCCCCCAUCACAGAGGAGGACCCGCAGAAUGGUUCAUGGACUUCGGGGGCUGAGUGGUGACAGAAGCCCAGGCUCCUCCCUGCUCCUGCUUCUGGAAGCUUGCACCCUCCUUGAGCCUGGCUCAGAUGAACAUCCUCGACCCUGGUUCCCUCCUUCCUUCAUCGCAGGCAAUGACUUCUCACCCGUAGGCUGGUUUCAGUGCUUAACUCUUCUGUUAAAGCCUUUCUCACGCUCCGCUUUGGAUGGCUCUUUCCUCCCCUGGCUUCUGCCACCGCAGACCAGCUCUGCGGUUUUUGAACUUCAUGCAAAGGGACUCACCAAGUGUGCUAUUGGUGGACUUUUACAAAAUGCUGGGUACCUUCCCAUCAGCUCUGGAACUGGAGGCAGGUGAGCUCCCUGCUCACAGACCCUGACCUGCCUGCAGGCCCAGUCAGGACCAGCUUCUGGAAAGAAAAGCGUUGAAAAAAGUAAACAGCUUUCCACUGAAUGCCCGAUGGGAAUGGAGCACGCACAGCCCGGCGGGGACUGUGGCCACUCAGGUGGGCCCCUGACCUGGCUGCAGGUGUCUCGGAUUCUACGUGGCUUCCUAGGUGGUUCUCUUGGAUGUUAGGAGACCUGUGAACUGGAGGAAAAUCCAUACUUGAAAAUCCAGACCAAACAAAGUUGACUAAUCAGAGUCAUCACCAAAUGAUGGUAAUUUCCUUGCUUUGCCAACGUGACCUACAGUGAAUUGAACCGAUUUUCAGGAACCUAUCCACACGUCUAUCCAGACGUACCUGAUUGGACCGUAUUUGUGUUUUCAUUCAUUUAUUUGUUCCUUUAUUUGCCCAUCCUGCCUUAGCUGUCAGCCACAGGGCGAGAACAAGAACAGGAACUGACUGUGAAUAUUAAGGUGACUUUCUUGACUCCACAGGCCGGCGUAGGCUGCUCGGUAUUUGAGUUAUAAUUACUUCUUGAGUCUGUCCCCUGCAACUAGAUUGUAAAGUACUUGAGAGCCUGGGAGGUUUCAACCUUUGUUAACGUCUCUGACCCAGAGCAAACAUUCAGUGAAUGUACCCUGAUAAUAAAUGUUUCUGGACAGAAAGAAAGGGGGGAGGGGAGAACGGAGAGGGAGAGAGGGAGGAAAGGAGGAAGAAAAGCAAUGCAGUGUGACUGUACAGAGCUGGGGCAUUUCUGUAGGUACAUGGAUGGAUACACAGAUACAUGUAAACCGCACCCCUGCAAAGUUCUUGAAGAAAUGCGAUUUCUGUUUUCUUCAGAGACAGAAGUCUACACUCUUACAAGCUUCACUGUCAUAUUGUAACUUGAGAAUGUAGCAUUAAUUGCUACACAGAAAGCAAGUGUAACUCACUUGCUGAAUGCAAAUUGAAUAAUAAAUGGCAAACAAUCAAACUUGCCAUGGAUGGUAUUGACUGGGAGAAGGAUUAAGGCCCACAGUCCGCAGUGAUGGCUGGAGGUCAGCCUUUACCAGUUGGGGGCCGUCAGGCCGGUGUCCCGGCUCAUUUUUAUUUUCACUUUUACUUCCCUCUCCUCCCUGUGACUUUACCCAGGAAAAUAGCACCGCCUGUCACCUAGGAAACAGGUUCUCUCGCUGGCAUGUGGAGAUGGGUGACCCCACCCUGUCUCAUUACAAAUGUGCAUUUGCAGCUGGGCUCUGGGUGACCUUGCCAAGGACAGAAAGCUAAUCCGGUGAUGCUGGUGAAUUGAGGCCCAGCCCCACCCACCUGGCGUCCUGAGGGCCCGGCUGAGGGGUGGGGAUCUGCCUGUUUAAGCUGCUAAACACGCCCAUCUCUUAAGAAGGAGGCUGCAAAGUGGUUUCGUUCUGAAAAUGAUUAAGAAAUAAGCCUGAUGCUCUGUAUUGUGACCGUGCAAGACCCUGGGCCUCUAACUUUGACCACCUUCCUUUUCACCGGGUUCCCCGGAGCGGACGGUUAGCAUUGGACUUGAGACUGGGUGAGCUGAGGACAGAGGCCUUGGGUUCCUCCUUUAGUUAUGUUAAUUGAGAGAGAAGACAGGGGUGAGGGCCGGGACAGUGGGGCCCGGGCGGCCGCUGUGCGGGCUGAGUCUUUAUUCUGUAGCUUUGGCAGUGACGGCUCCUUUCUGGGCCCUUUGUCGCUGUUGGCUCGGGGACCUCGGGGCUGCGCUCCAGCUGUAUGCAAAGUGCGGCCAAGGGCUCGGGGAGGGGGCCCAGCGCAUUGUCCUUCUGUCACAUCCUCCCUACCAUCCUCCCGUCCUUUAUGUGAUAACAGCAACCGGCACCUUUGGCUACUAGGUGCUAUUUUAAGCCCUUCAGCUGGUGAAAGGACUUGAUUCUUACCACAGCCUAGGGAUGGGCACGGUGUGUGCUCUGAUUUCAGACGCGGGACCACAGACUCCCAGGCUGCCUGAGUGCCCGCGGGGGAGGUGGGCCCAGUGGGGAGGGCCACGCGCCCUCCAGGUGGCUCCUCCAUCCUCACUGGCUGUCGGGCUGUCUGUCCCCUGCCGUCUAGGGUGACCCGCCGGGCCUGGACCCAGAACUGCCGCGUCCUCCCCGCCUGGCGUUCCCAGUCCCGAGCACGGCCGGCUGCAAGGCCAAGGGCAGUUCCAAGGUAGGGUGCUCCCCGCAGGACAGUCCAGAUUCCAGGGAAAAGACACCUCUUGCUUGUCUAAAGAGAGGCUGUGUGUGUGUCUUUUACCCAGGAGAACAAUGAUGGAAUCAAUGAUUUUAACCUGCGUUGUAGGAGCUCCUAGCCAGGUGAUGCUCUGGGAAGCAGACAGCCAGGGGCCCACGCCCAGGAGCUGACCUUCCCAGGGCAGUAGGCGAACUUUUUCUUCUCUAUUUUUAUUAAAAAUAAAUUAUGAAGUUUAUUUAUUGAUUUUUGUAUAAUCCAACUAAAUAAAAGCAUUUUGACUUAUGUA